rnacentral:lncRNA from 1 species
CUCCCCCCACCAGAGGCCCCGCCCCCUUUCCUCCUCCUUUGGCCACGCCCCCUCCCCCCUUGGCCCCGCCCCCUUCUCUCUCUCUUAUCGUUGCAGGUGGCGCCGGAUUGGACGUCGGCCUGGGGGGGGCGGGGCUUAAAGGGGGAGGGGGCGGGGCUUAGAGAACAAAGGGGGCGGAGCCUGAGAGGAGGGGGGCGGGGCUUGAAGGGAGGAGGGGGCGGGGCUUUGCCCUUAUAUGGAGGGGGGGGAGGGGGUAAUAAAGAGAGGGGGGAACAAAGAUGGCGGACGGAGUCACGUGACUGGGGCGGGGCCUGAAGGGAGGGGGAGGGGCUUAAAGGGGAGGGGGGAGGGGGGUCCAGUUUGGCCCAGUUUGCUCCCAGUUCCCUCCCAGUUCGUCCCAGUUUACUUCCAGUUCGUCCCAGUUCAGCCCAGUUGCCUCCCAGUUCACUCCCAGGCCUUCCCAGUAUGUCCCAGUUGCUCCCAGUUCAGCCCAGUUCCUCCCAGUUCACCCAUUUCCUUCCCAGUUCCCUCCCAGUUCAGCCCACCAGUUGCUCCCAGUUCACUCCCAGGCUCGCCCAGUUCCAGCCCAGUUCAGCCCAGUUGCCCACCAGGCCCUCCUGGUCACUCCCAGUUCAGCCCAGUUCACUCCCAGGCACUCCCAGUAUAGCCCAGUUGCAUCCCAGUUCAUUCCCAGUUGCUCCCAGGCUCUCCCAGUUUCCUCCCAGUUGCCCCAGUUCAUUCCCAGUACAUCCUAGUUCCCUCCUACUUCUCCACCAGUCCUCCCCAGUUUACCCCAGUUCAGCCCAGUUGCCUCCCAGUUCCACCAGUUUCUUCCCAGUAUAUCCCAGUUGGUUCCCAGUUGCUCCCAGUUCACCCCAAGUCUCCUGGUCGCCUCCCAGUACAUCCCAGUUCCAUCCCAGUUUGUUCCCAGUUCAGCCCAGUUCACCUCAGGCUGUCCUAGCCACCUCCCAGUACAUCCCAGUUCAUUCCCA